CCUACGGGUGGCAGCAGUGAGGAAUAUUGGUCAAUGGACGAGAGUCUGAACCAGCCAAGUAGCGUGAAGGAUGACUGCCCUAUGGUUUGUAAACUUCUUUUAUAUGGGAAUAAAACGUUCCACGUGUGGGAUUUUGUAUGUACCAUAUGAAUAAGGAUCGGCUAACGCCGUUCCAGCAGCCGCGGUAAUACGGAGGAUCCGAGCGUUAUCCGGAUUUAUUGGGUUUAAAGGGAGCGUAGGUGGAUUGUUAAGUCCGUUGUGAAAGUUUGCGGCGAAACCGGAAAAUUGCAGUUGAAAAUUGCAGUCUUGAGUACAGUAGAGGUGGGAGGAAUUCGUGGUGUAGCGGUGAAAUGCUUAGAUAUCACGAAGAACUCCGAUUGCGAAGGCAGUUCACUGGACUGCAACUGACACUGAGGCUCGAAAGUGUGGGUAUCAAACAGGAUUAGAGACCCGAGUAGUC
rnacentral:rRNA from 1 species